UACGUAGGGUGCGAGCGUUGUCCGGAAUUACUGGGCGUAAAGAGCUCGUAGGUGGUUUGUCGCGUUGUUCGUGAAAACUCACAGCUUAACUGUGGGCGUGCGGGCGAUACGGGCAGACUGGAGUACUGCAGGGGAGACUGGAAUUCCUGGUGUAGCGGUGGAAUGCGCAGAUAUCAGGAGGAACACCGGUGGCGAAGGCGGGGUCUCUGGGGCAGUAACUGACGCUGAGGAGCGAAAGCGUGGGGAGCAAACAGG
rnacentral:rRNA from 1 species